ACAAAUUCACAAAACAUGCAAAAUGGAAAAUCAAUCUAUUAAACCCACAAAAAAAUUAUCUUUAUUGAAGAUAAUGAUCGAGUUUUGUGGUGAUCGGUGUUGGGUGACAACUUCGAUCAUAUCCAAAUGUAAAAACUGAGUGAAUUUUUUCCUUUUUAUUCUCUGUUUUUUUUCUUCUUUUUCUUCUUCUUUUUUUUUUUUUUUUUCGUUGAAGAUGAGGGCAAUUUUGAUAAAUGUUUUAUAAAAUUUCUAUUUUAAUUUUUAAUGAUCAUAGGCUAUUGUGAAAAUACGACCAAAUCAAAUGGCAAUUUCCACCUCGAUUCAUUUUAAUGCAUUCCCUCGAUCCCAUUCCUCCGAAUCUUAUUUCCUAAUUAUAUUCUUAUCCUCUAAUUCAAUACAGUACAUAUCAGCCACUUGUGCUUGUUUACCGUUUCUCAACUAUUAACUAUAAAUAUUUGAAAAUCCCAAACAGUAGGAAAACCCAGGUAAAAGAUUAAAAACAUCUCACCUUGAAGUCUCCCCGUCUCCGAUGGCUUCCCCAGCUACGAGAUUUGUCUUCGCACUUCUUACAUUUGUCACCGUAGGAAUGAUAAUCGGUAACUCCUCCGAAUUCUUUAUUUUGAGCAUUUCUGUGAUAGAUUCCUGUACCGGACUGAGUUUUGAUUUUUAUUUUCUGACAGUUUUAACAAAU
rnacentral:lncRNA from 1 species